UACGUAGGUGGCAAGCGUUAUCCGGAUUUAUUGGGUGUAAAGGGUGCGUAGGCGGGAUGCCAAGUCAGCGGUAAAAAUGCGGUGCUCAACGCCGUCGAGCCGUUGAAACUGGCGUUCUUGAGUGGGCGAGAAGUAUGCGGAAUGCGUGGUGUAGCGGUGAAAUGCAUAGAUAUCACGCAGAACUCCGAUUGCGAAGGCAGCAUACCGGCGCCCUACUGACGCUGAGGCACGAAAGCGUGGGUAUCGAACAGG
rnacentral:rRNA from 1 species